rnacentral:rRNA from 1 species
GACGAACCGUGCGGACGUUGUUCGGAAUCACUGGGCUUAAAGGGCGCGUAGGCGGAUUGCCAAGUCAGGGGUGAAAUCUCUCAGCUCAACUGGGAAAUUGCCUUUGAUACUGGCAGCCUCGAGUGAGGUAGGGGCAUGUGGAACUCUCGGUGGAGCGGUGAAAUGUGUUGAUAUCGGGAGGAACUCCGGUGGCGAAAGCGACGUGCUGGACCUCAACUGACGCUGAGGCGCGAAAGCUAGGGGAGCAAACGGG